rnacentral:rRNA from 1 species
UAUUCACUCUGGCGGCGUGCCUAAUACAUGCAAGUCGAGCGAACAGACGAGGAGCUUGCUCCUCUGACGUUAGCGGCGGACGGGUGAGUAACACGUGGAUAACCUACCUAUAAGACUGGGAUAACUUCGGGAAACCGGAGCUAAUACCGGAUAAUAUAUUGAACCGCAUGGUUCAAUAGUGAAAGACGGUUUUGCUGUCACUUAUAGAUGGAUCCGCGCCGCAUUAGCUAGUUGGUAAGGUAACGGCUUACCAAGGCAACGAUGCGUAGCCGACCUGAGAGGGUGAUCGGCCACACUGGAACUGAGACACGGUCCAGACUCCUACGGGAGGCAGCAGUAGGGAAUCUUCCGCAAUGGGCGAAAGCCUGACGGAGCAACGCCGCGUGAGUGAUGAAGGUCUUCGGAUCGUAAAACUCUGUUAUUAGGGAAGAACAAAUGUGUAAGUAACUAUGCACGUCUUGACGGUACCUAAUCAGAAAGCCACGGCUAACUACGUG